GCUGGGCAUGGUGGCUCAUGCCUGUAAUCCUAGCACUUGGGAGGCCGAGGCAGGCAAAUUGCCUGAGCCCAGGAGUUUGAGACCAGCCUGGGCAACAUGGCAAAACCCUGUCUCUA
rnacentral:SRP_RNA from 1 species